rnacentral:rRNA from 1 species
GGACCCGCACAAGCGGUGGAUUAUGUGGAUUAAUUCGAUGCAACGCGAAAAACCUUACCUACCCUUGACAUGUCCCGAAGCCCGGUGAGAGCUGGGUGUGCCCGAAAGGGAACGGGAACACAGGUGCUGCAUGGCUGUCGUCAGCUCGUGUCGUGAGAUGUUGGGUUAAGUCCCGCAACGAGCGCAACCCUUGCCAUUAGUUGCUUCAUUCAGUUGGGCACUCUAAUGGGACUGCCGGUGACAAACCGGAGGAAGGUGGGGAUGACGUCAAGUCCUCAUGGCCCUUAUGGGUAGGGCUUCACACGUAAUACAAUGGCGCGUACAGAGGGUUGCGAAACCGCGAGGUGGAGCCAAUCCCGACAAAGCGCGUCGUAGUCCGGAUUGCAGUCUGCAACUCGACUGCAUGAAGUCGGAAUCGCUAGUAAUCGCGGAUCAGCAUGUCGCGGUGAAUACGUUCCCGGGUCUU